rnacentral:rRNA from 1 species
UACGUAGGGUGCGAGCGUUAAUCGGAAUUACUGGGCGUAAAGGGCGCGUAGGCGGCCUUCUAAGUCAGACGUGAAAUCCCCCGGCUUAACCUGGGAACUGCGUCUGAUACUGGAUGGCUUGAGUGCGGGAGAGGGAUGUGGAAUUCCAGGUGUAGCGGUGAAAUGCGUAGAUAUCUGGAGGAACACCGGUGGCGAAGGCGGCAUCCUGGACCGACACUGACGCUGAGGCGCGAAAGCUAGGGUAGCAAACGGG